rnacentral:rRNA from 1 species
AGAGUUUGAUCCUGGCUCAGGAUGAACGCUGGCGGCGUGCCUAAUACAUGCAAGUCGAGCGAACGGACGAGAAGCUUGCUUCUCUGAUGUUAGCGGCGGACGGGUGAGUAACACGUGGAUAACCUACCUAUAAGACUGGGAUAACUUCGGGAAACCGGAGCUAAUACCGGAUGAUAUUUUGAACCGCAUGGUUCAAAAGUGAAAGACGGUCUUGCUGUCACUUAUAGAUGGAUCCGCGCUGCAUUAGCUAGUUGGUAAGGUAACGGCUUACCAAGGCAACGAUGCAUAGCCGACCUGAGAGGGUGAUCGGCCACACUGGAACUGAGACACGGUCCAGACUCCUACGGGAGGCAGCAGUAGGGAAUCUUCCGCAAUGGGCGAAAGCCUGACGGAGCAACGCCGCGUGAGUGAUGAAGGUCUUCGGAUCGUAAAACUCUGUUAUUAGGGAAGAACAUAUGUGUAAGUAACUGUGCACAUCUUGACGGUACCUAAUCAGAAAGCCACGGCUAACUACGUGCCAGCAGCCGCGGUAAUACGUAGGUGGCAAGCGUUAUCCGGAAUUAUUGGGCGUAAAGCGCGCGUAGGCGGUUUUUUAAGUCUGAUGUGAAAGCCCACGGCUCAACCGUGGAGGGUCAUUGGAAACUGGAAAACUUGAGUGCAGAAGAGGAAAGUGGAAUUCCAUGUGUAGCGGUGAAAUGCGCAGAGAUAUGGAGGAACACCAGUGGCGAAGGCGACUUUCUGGUCUGUAACUGACGCUGAUGUGCGAAAGCGUGGGGAUCAAACAGGAUUAGAUACCCUGGUAGUCCACGCCGUAAACGAUGAGUGCUAAGUGUUAGGGGGUUUCCGCCCCUUAGUGCUGCAGCUAACGCAUUAAGCACUCCGCCUGGGGAGUACGACCGCAAGGUUGAAACUCAAAGGAAUUGACGGGGACCCGCACAAGCGGUGGAGCAUGUGGUUUAAUUCGAAGCAACGCGAAGAACCUUACCAAAUCUUGACAUCCUUUGACAACUCUAGAGAUAGAGCCUUCCCCUUCGGGGGACAAAGUGACAGGUGGUGCAUGGUUGUCGUCAGCUCGUGUCGUGAGAUGUUGGGUUAAGUCCCGCAACGAGCGCAACCCUUAAGCUUAGUUGCCAUCAUUAAGUUGGGCACUCUAAGUUGACUGCCGGUGACAAACCGGAGGAAGGUGGGGAUGACGUCAAAUCAUCAUGCCCCUUAUGAUUUGGGCUACACACGUGCUACAAUGGACAAUACAAAGGGCAGCGAAACCGCGAGGUCAAGAAAAUCCCAUAAAGUUGUUCUCAGUUCGGAUUGUAGUCUGCAACUCGACUACAUGAAGCUGGAAUCGCUAGUAAUCGUAGAUCAGCAUGCUACGGU